GUGAAUCAUCAAAUUUUUGAACGCAAAUUGCACUCUCCUCGGAGAGGAGGCCUGUUUGAGGGUCAGCGUAUAAAAAUCGACAUAGUUGCGGUUGGGCGGUGGCGUUCGUCGGAAAUGGGGUCAUCGUAAGUCGUUUAGAUUUAAGCGACUUAAAAUUGUCUUUUGGUUACAUGAACGUUUCUAAGAUCUACUUCUUUACACGUUGAAGGUAGCGAUGGUUAUUAGACGUGACCAUCAUA
rnacentral:misc_RNA from 1 species